CUCUAACAAUACCGGUGUACAGUACCGAUUCGUACGCGGGUUUCGGCGAUCCCUCCCGGCUAUCACUCAGCGACUCCUCCGCAGGUCGAAAACCGCGGUUAAAAGAAACGCGAUUCGGUCCGUACCGAAUGCGGUUUAUCGUAGAGCCACGGAUAUCGCACGGCGACUGUUAUGAAGACUGACGGGAGAUGGAUCAGGAGAGGAGGAGGGGGCACGCUCUCGCGGCGAUACAGGAAAAACGCCGGUAUUUUCGCCGGCACGCCGGUAAUAUCGCAAUUAUAGUCACGAUACCGACCAAAUUCAAUACGGCGCUGUAACAUUAAAUCGGCAUUAUAAUAAUAAUCGAAAAUAAUAACGAAAAAUCGAUAUUUUUUUUUUUUUUUUCCUUGUAUAUUUCCACAUUAUAAUAUGAUAAUAUAACAUUAUAAAUACUAU